rnacentral:rRNA from 1 species
GGGUUGUGAGGUUAAGCGACUAAGCGUACACGGUGGAUGCCCUGGCAGUCAGAGGCGAUGAAGGGCGUGCUAAUCUGCGAUAAGCGCCGGUAAGGUGAUAUGAACCGUUAUAACCGGCGAUACCCGAAUGGGGAAACCCAGUGUGAUUCGUCACACUAUCAUUAACUGAAUCCAUAGGUUAAUGAGGCGAACCGGGGGAACUGAAACAUCUAAGUACCCCGAGGAAAAGAAAUCAACCGAGAUUCCCCCAGUAGCGGCGAGCGAACGGGGAGGAGCCCAGAGCCUGAAUCAGCAUGUGUGUUAGUGGAAGCGUCUGGAAAGGCGCGCGAUACAGGGUGACAGCCCCGUACACAAAAGCGCAUGUGCUGUGAGCUCGAUGAGUAGGGCGGGACACGUGGUAUCCUGUCUGAAUAUGGGGGGACCAUCCUCCAAGGCUAAAUACUCCUGACUGACCGAUAGUGAACCAGUACCGUGAGGGAAAGGCGAAAAGAACCCCGGCGAGGGGAGUGAAAAAGAACCUGAAACCGUGUACGUACAAGCAGUGGGAGCNNNNNNNNNNNNNNNNNNNNNNNNNNNGGGCGUUAAGUUGCAGGGUAUAGACCCGAAACCCGGUGAUCUAGCCAUGGGCAGGUUGAAGGUUGGGUAACACUAACUGGAGGACCGAACCGACUAAUGUUGAAAAAUUAGCGGAUGACCUGUGGCUGGGGGUGAAAGGCCAAUCAAACCGGGAGAUAGCUGGUUCUCCCCGAAAGCUAUUUAGGUAGCGCCUCGUGAAUUCAUCUCCGGGGGUAGAGCACUGUUUCGGCUAGGGGGCCAUCCCGGCUUACCAACCCGAUGCAAACUGCGAAUACCGGAGAAUGUUAUCACGGGAGACACACGGCGGGUGCUAACGUCCGUCGUGAAGAGGGAAACAACCCAGACCGCCAGCUAAGGUCCCAAAGUCAUGGUUAAGUGGGAAACGAUGUGGGAAGGCCCAGACAGCCAGGAUGUUGGCUUAGAAGCAGCCAUCAUUUAAAGAAAGCGUAAUAGCUCACUGGUCGAGUCGGCCUGCGCGGAAGAUGUAACGGGGCUAAACCAUGCACCGAAGCUGCGGCAGCGACACUGUGUGUUGUUGGGUAGGGGAGCGUUCUGUAAGCCUGUGAAGGUGUGUCGUGAGGCAUGCUGGAGGUAUCAGAAGUGCGAAUGCUGACAUAAGUAACGAUAAAGCGGGUGAAAAGCCCGCUCGCCGGAAGACCAAGGGUUCCUGUCCAACGUUAAUCGGGGCAGGGUGAGUCGACCCCUAAGGCGAGGCCGAAAGGCGUAGUCGAUGGGAAACGGGUUAAUAUUCCCGUACUUGGUGUUACUGCGAAGGGGGGACGGAGAAGGCUAUGUUGGCCGGGCGACGGUUGUCCCGGUUUAAGCGUGUAGGUGUGUGUUCCAGGUAAAUCCGGUUCACUUUAACACUGAGGCGUGACGACGAGGCACUACGGUGCUGAAGCAACAAAUGCCCUGCUUCCAGGAAAAGCCUCUAAGCAUCAGGUAACAUCAAAUCGUACCCCAAACCGACACAGGUGGUCAGGUAGAGAAUACCAAGGCGCUUGAGAGAACUCGGGUGAAGGAACUAGGCAAAAUGGUGCCGUAACUUCGGGAGAAGGCACGCUGACACGUAGGUGAAGUGAUUUACUCAUGGAGCUGAAGUCAGUCGAAGAUACCAGCUGGCUGCAACUGUUUAUUAAAAACACAGCACUGUGCAAACACGAAAGUGGACGUAUACGGUGUGACGCCUGCCCGGUGCCGGAAGGUUAAUUGAUGGGGUCAGCGCAAGCGAAGCUCCUGAUCGAAGCCCCGGUAAACGGCGGCCGUAACUAUAACGGUCCUAAGGUAGCGAAAUUCCUUGUCGGGUAAGUUCCGACCUGCACGAAUGGCGUAAUGAUGGCCAGGCUGUCUCCACCCGAGACUCAGUGAAAUUGAACUCGCUGUGAAGAUGCAGUGUACCCGCGGCAAGACGGAAAGACCCCGUGAACCUUUACUAUAGCUUGACACUGAACAUUGAGCCUUGAUGUGUAGGAUAGGUGGGAGGCUUUGAAGUGUGGACGCCAGUCUGCAUGGAGCCGACCUUGAAAUACCACCCUUUAAUGUUUGAUGUUCUAACGUGGACCCGUUACCCGGGUUGCGGACAGUGUCUGGUGGGUAGUUUGACUGGGGCGGUCUCCUCCUAAAGAGUAACGGAGGAGCACGAAGGUUGGCUAAUCCUGGUCGGACAUCAGGAGGUUAGUGCAAUGGCAUAAGCCAGCUUGACUGCGAGCGUGACGGCGCGAGCAGGUGCGAAAGCAGGUCAUAGUGAUCCGGUGGUUCUGAAUGGAAGGGCCAUCGCUCAACGGAUAAAAGGUACUCCGGGGAUAACAGGCUGAUACCGCCCAAGAGUUCAUAUCGACGGCGGUGUUUGGCACCUCGAUGUCGGCUCAUCACAUCCUGGGGCUGAAGUAGGUCCCAAGGGUAUGGCUGUUCGCCAUUUAAAGUGGUACGCGAGCUGGGUUUAGAACGUCGUGAGACAGUUCGGUCCCUAUCUGCCGUGGGCGCUGGAGAACUGAGGGGGGCUGCUCCUAGUACGAGAGGACCGGAGUGGACGCAUCACUGGUGUUCGGGUUGUCAUGCCAAUGGCACUGCCCGGUAGCUAAAUGCGGAAGAGAUAAGUGCUGAAAGCAUCUAAGCACGAAACUUGCCCCGAGAUGAGUUCUCCCUGAGACUUAGAGUCUCCUGAAGGAACGUUGAAGACGACGACGUUGAUAGGCCGGGUGUGUAAGCGCAGCGAUGCGUUGAGCUAACCGGUACUAAUGAACCGUGAGGCUUAACCUUACAACGCCGAAG